CUGCCAGCGUGGAACGCACGUCUCGCGCUCAUCCCGGAAGUAAGCUGUCCGGUUUCGGUCUGCUGAGUACAGAAAGAAGUCAGAGCAGUAAAUACGAAUCCAAUUCAACAGUUCAGCACGCUUUCCCGAAGCCUUCUGGAAGGGACGCCGACACGGUUCAUUACAACAGAUUCAGCAGACCCGGCCAGGCUGCCCGCUGUGGGCGCUGCACUCAAGAUGAUGGUGGACCGUACGUUGGCUCAAGUGGGCAGGAAUCUGAGUGACGCCAUGAGAAUCCUGGGAGACGGACAGAGAGAGCCGGAGGCAGGAGCAGAGAGAUGGCGCCUGAGCAGAGCCAGCAUCCCCGGACCCCUGCAGGGAGA